AAAUUGAAGAGUUUGAUCAUGGCUCAGAUUGAACGCUGGCGGCAGGCCUAACACAUGCAAGUCGAACGGUAACAGGAAGCAGCUUGCUGCUUCGCUGACGAGUGGCGGACGGGUGAGUAAUGUCUGGGAAGCUGCCUGAUGGAGGGGGAUAACUACUGGAAACGGUGGCUAAUACCGCAUAACGUCGCAAGACCAAAGAGGGGGACCUUCGGGCCUCUUGCCAUCAGAUGUGCCCAGAUGGGAUUAGCUAGUUGGUGAGGUAACGGCUCACCAAGGCGACGAUCCCUAGCUGGUCUGAGAGGAUGACCAGCCACACUGGAACUGAGACACGGUCCAGACUCCUACGGGAGGCAGCAGUGGGGAAUAUUGCACAAUGGGCGCAAGCCUGAUGCAGCCAUGCCGCGUGUAUGAAGAAGGCCUUCGGGUUGUAAAGUACUUUCAGCGGGGAGGAAGGUGUUGUGGUUAAUAACCGCAGCAAUUGACGUUACCCGCAGAAGAAGCACCGGCUAACUCCGUGCCAGCAGCCGCGGUAAUACGGAGGGUGCAAGCGUUAAUCGGAAUUACUGGGCGUAAAGCGCACGCAGGCGGUCUGUCAAGUCGGAUGUGAAAUCCCCGGGCUCAACCUGGGAACUGCAUUCGAAACUGGCAGGCUUGAGUCUUGUAGAGGGGGGUAGAAUUCCAGGUGUAGCGGUGAAAUGCGUAGAGAUCUGGAGGAAUACCGGUGGCGAAGGCGGCCCCCUGGACAAAGACUGACGCUCAGGUGCGAAAGCGUGGGGAGCAAACAGGAUUAGAUACCCUGGUAGUCCACGCCGUAAACGAUGUCUACUUGGAGGUUGUGCCCUUGAGGCGUGGCUUCCGGAGCUAACGCGUUAAGUAGACCGCCUGGGGAGUACGGCCGCAAGGUUAAAACUCAAAUGAAUUGACGGGGGCCCGCACAAGCGGUGGAGCAUGUGGUUUAAUUCGAUGCAACGCGAAGAACCUUACCUGGUCUUGACAUCCACGGAAGUUUUCAGAGAUGAGAAUGUGCCUUCGGGAACCGUGAGACAGGUGCUGCAUGGCUGUCGUCAGCUCGUGUUGUGAAAUGUUGGGUUAAGUCCCGCAACGAGCGCAACCCUUAUCCUUUGUUGCCAGCGGUCCGGCCGGGAACUCAAAGGAGACUGCCAGUGAUAAACUGGAGGAAGGUGGGGAUGACGUCAAGUCAUCAUGGCCCUUACGACCAGGGCUACACACGUGCUACAAUGGCGCAUACAAAGAGAAGCGACCUCGCGAGAGCAAGCGGACCUCAUAAAGUGCGUCGUAGUCCGGAUUGGAGUCUGCAACUCGACUCCAUGAAGUCGGAAUCGCUAGUAAUCGUGGAUCAGAAUGCCACGGUGAAUACGUUCCCGGGCCUUGUACACACCGCCCGUCACACCAUGGGAGUGGGUUGCAAAAGAAGUAGGUAGCUUAACCUUCGGGAGGGCGCUUACCACUUUGUGAUUCAUGACUGGGGUGAAGUCGUAACAAGGUAACCGUAGGGGAACCUGCGGUUGGAUCACCUCCUUA
rnacentral:rRNA from 1 species